rnacentral:rRNA from 1 species
AUACCUUUGCUCAUUGACGUUACCCGCAGAAGAAGCACCGGCUAACUCCGUGCCAGCAGCCGCGGUAAUACGGAGGGUGCAAGCGUUAAUCGGAAUUACUGGGCGUAAAGCGCACGCAGGCGGUUUGUUAAGUCAGAUGUGAAAUCCCCGGGCUCAACCUGGGAACUGCAUCUGAUACUGGCAAGCUUGAGUCUCGUAGAGGGGGGUAGAAUUCCAGGUGUAGCGGUGAAAUGC